UACAGAGGUCCCAAGCGUUGUUCGGAUUCAUUGGGCGUAAAGGGUGCGUAGGUGGCGCCGUAAGUCAGGUGUGAAAUUUCGGAGCUUAACUCCGAAACUGCAUUUGAUACUGCGGUGCUUGAGGACUGGAGAGGAGACUGGAAUUCACGGUGUAGCAGUGAAAUGCGUAGAUAUCGUGAGGAAGACCAGUGGCCGAAGGCGGGUCUCUGGACAGUUCCUGACACUGAGGCACGAAGGCCAGGGGAGCAAACGGG
rnacentral:rRNA from 1 species